rnacentral:rRNA from 1 species
CCUCCCACGAACUCCCGUAGGAGUCUGGGCCGCGUCGACGAAGGGACCAGCGUUGCUGGUUCUGGAUGAGUGGCGAACGGGUGAGUAACACGUGAGUAACCUGCCCCCUUCUUCUGGAUAACCGCAUGAAAGUGUGGCUAAUACGGGAGUAUUCUGCGCCUGCUGCAUGGUGGGUAGUGGGAAACGAUGGCGCCGUUUGGGUGUUUUUGGUGGGGGAUGGGCUCGCGGCCUAUCAGCUUGUUGGUGGGGUAGAUGGCCUACCAAGGCGGUGACGGGUAGCCGGCCUGGAGAGGGUGGACGGUCACACUGGGACUGAGACACGGCCCGAGACUCCUACGGG